UACGUGCCAGCAGCCGCGGUAAUACGUAGGUGGCAAGCGUUGUACGGAUUUACNUGGGCGUAAAGGGAGCGUAGGUGGAUAUUUAAGUGGGAUGUGAAAUACUCGGGCUUAACCUGGGUGCUGCAUUCCAAACUGGAUAUCUAGAGUGCAGGAGAGGAAAGUAGAAUUCCUAGUGUAGCGGUGAAAUGCGUAGAGAUUAGGAAGAAUACCAGUGGCGAAGGCGACUUUCUGGACUGUAACUGACACUGAGGCUC
rnacentral:rRNA from 1 species